GACGAACGCUGGCGGCAUGCCUAAUACAUGCAAGUCGAGCGAACAGAUGAAGUGUUUGCACUUCUGACGUUAGCGGCGAACGGGUGAGUAACACGUAAGGAAUCUACCUAUAAGCGGGGGAUAACAUUCGGAAACGGGUGCUAAUACCGCAUAAUAUCUUCUUCCGCAUGGAAGAAGAUUGAAAGACGGCUCUGCUGUCACUUAUAGCUUACCUUGCGGUGCAUUAGUUAGUUGGUGGGGUAAUGGCCUACCAAGACGAUGAUGCAUAGCCGACCUGAGAGGGUGAUCGGCCACAUUGGGACUGAGACACGGCCCAAACUCCUACGGGAGGCAGCAGUAGGGAAUCUUCCGCAAUGGGCGAAAGCCUGACGGAGCAAUGCCGCGUGAGUGAAGAAGGCCUUCGGGUCGUAAAACUCUGUUAUAAGGGAAGAACAAAUUGUAGAGUAACUGCUACAGUCUUGACGGUAUCUUAUCAGAAAGCCACGGCUAACUACGUGCCAGCAGCCGCAGUAA
rnacentral:rRNA from 1 species